UACGAAGGGAGCUAGCGUUGCUCGGAAUCACUGGGCGUAAAGGGUGCGUAGGCGGGUCUUUUAAGUCAGGGGUGAAAUCCUGGAGCUCAACUCCAGAACUGCCUUUGAUACUGAAGAUCUUGAGUUCGGGAGAGGUGAGUGGAACUGCGAGUGUAGAGGUGAAAUUCGUAGAUAUUCGCAAGAACACCAGUGGCGAAGGCGGCUCACUGGCCCGAUACUGACGCUGAUGCACGAAAGCGUGGGGAGCAAACAGG
rnacentral:rRNA from 1 species